AGUGAACGCUGGCGGCAGGCCUAACACAUGCAAGUCGAACGGCAGCACAGUACUUGCUCCUGGUUUCGGCGGCGGGCGGGGGAGGGGUGCGGAAGAAUCUGCCAGCUAGUUUUUGGUGGGGGCUAAAGGCGGGCAAUAAUACCUCAUACCGCCUGAGGCCGAAGGGUGGAAACAGUGGGACCUCCCGCUCUGCGAGGAUGAGAGGUCGGAUUAGCUAGUUGGUGGGGUAAAGGCCUACCAAGGCGACGAUCCGUAACUGGUCUGAGAGGAUGAUCAGCCACACUGGAACUGAGACACGGUCCAGACUCCUACGGGAGGCAGCAGUGGGGAAUAUUGGACAAUGGGCGCAAGCCUGAUCCAGCCAUGCCGCGUGUGUGAAGAAGGCCUUCGGGUUGUAAAGCCCUUUUGUUGGGGAGGAAGGGCAGUAGGUUAAUACCCCGCUGUUCUGACGGUACCCAAAGAAUAAGCACCGGCUAACUUCGUG
rnacentral:rRNA from 1 species